UCCCUGGCAGUAUAUCGGUUAGUACACGCGCCUGUCAUAAACACUACUUCUCGUAGUACGCGCGAAAGCUGGGUUCAACUCCCAGCCAGGGAG